UGCGCAGGCGGUCUUGUAAGACAGAUGUGAAAUCCCCGGGCUUAACCUGGGAACUGCAUUUGUGACUGCAAGGCUGGAGUACGGCAGAGGGGGAUGGAAUUCCGCGUGUAGCAGUGAAAUGCGUAGAUAUGCGGAGGAACACCGAUGGCGAAGGCAAUCCCCUGGGCCUGUACUGACGCUCAUGCACGAAAGCGUGGGGAGCAAACAGGAUUAGAUACCCUGGUAGUCCACGCCCUAAACGAUGUCAACUGGUUGUUGGGUCUUCACUGACUCAGUAACGAAGCUAACGCGUGAAGUUGACCGCCUGGGGAGUACGGCCGCAAGGUUGAA
rnacentral:rRNA from 1 species